ACGGAAGGCAGCAGUGGGGAAUAUUGCACAAUGGGGGAAACCCUGAUGCAGCGACGCCGCGUGAGUGAAGAAGUUAUUCGUAAUGUAAAGCUCUAUCAGCAGGGAAGAAAAUGACGGUACCUGACUAAGAAGCCCCGGCUAACUACGUGCCAGCAGCCGCGGUAAUACGUAGGGGGCAAGCGUUAUCCGGAUUUACUGGAUGUAAAGGGAGCGUAGACGGUCUGGCAAGUCUGAUGUGAAAGGCAGGGGCUCAACUCCUGGACUGCAUUGGAAACUGUCAGUCUUGAGUGUCGGAGAGGUAAGCGGAAUUCCUAGUGUAGCGGUGAAAUGCGUAGAUAUUAGGAGGAACACCAGUGGCGAAGGCGGCUUACUGGACGAUAACUGACGUUGAGGCUCGAAAGCGUGGGGAGCAAACAGGAUUAGAUACCCUGGUA
rnacentral:rRNA from 1 species